rnacentral:tRNA from 1 species
AAAGAAUUAGUUAAAUAAUAACAUAAAUAUGUCAAAUUUAAAUUAAUAAAACUUAUUAUUCUUUU